CACCAAGCAUUUAUCCAAAAAUCAAGUGCUAAAAUAAAGGCAACUUUGAGCCAGUUGUUUAUAUCAGGAAAGAAGUCCCGUCUUAUAAACCUUAACCAAUAAUUUUAAACUAAUUUUUUUUUUCUGUGUUGGUGUAGUGUACUCAGGUGAAUAUGAUAUUUGUGGUGUUACUCUGAGUGUAUAUCCACACCGGGCGAGCUUGAAAAAUAUGCCCGGCCACGGUGGGAUUCGAACCUACGACCUUUGGAAUACUAGCCCAAUGCUCUUCCAACUGAGCUACGCGGUCAAGACGGUUCGAGUAAGUGAUAUUUCGGAACAGUAUCUAGUUCCUUCAAUACCAAUG